AGGCGAGUUGCUAACCGGCAGUUUAUGCAGACGGUCAUUCUGCGGGAAAGGCACACAUUCUGCGGUCAUUCUGUUUCAUCAUUUGUUUUGUUUUGUGUGUCGUUCACAAGUCACAACCUCAAUGACUGAGUUUUCCUGACUUCUGUACUGGAAAAGAGAAAGCUACUCCAACAUUUCUGAUAAUGAUCUUGAUAUUGUGAUUGCCAACGUGCUGAAAAGGUUUCCCAAGUUUGGUCUACAGUUGUUGCAAGGCAAACUUUUUUGCAGAUGGGUACAAAUUACAAGAGAAGCGUUUGCGAGCUUCCCAUGCUAGAAUUGGGCUGAAGAAGGCUAAACCUGGCUUGAAACAGAUUCCUCGUGUGGUUCAUCACGCAAAUUCCCCUUUACAAAUGUGGCACAUGGAUGGAUUUCACAAAUUUGAUGGUAAGGCGAUAGUGGGAAUGCAAGUUAGUGACAACAACCGCUCAGAAACUGUUUUCAAACUGUUGCAUUCCAGCU